rnacentral:rRNA from 1 species
AUUCGAUUAGAGUUUGAUCAUGGCUCAGGACGAACGCUGGCGGCGUGCUUAACACAUGCAAGUCGAACGGGAUUUGAAGUUACCACUGAGUUUUCCAAAAGAAGUGGUAGCCAAGCGGUGAAUGAACGGAGUGAAUUCACCACGCAUUAUAAAGUGCCAACACCUUGAAGAAGGCUGAGUGGUAAUUUCAAAUCUAGUGGCGAACGGGUGAGUAACGCGUAGACGACCUACCUCUUAGAUGGGGACAACAUCGCGAAAGCGGUGCUAAUACCGAAUGAAGUGACUUUCCUGCAUGGGAGAGAUACUAAAGGUGGCCUCUAUUUAUAAGCUACCACUGAGAGAUGGGUCUGCGUCUGAUUAGCUAGUUGGCGGGGUAACGGCCCACCAAGGCGACGAUCAGUAGCCGGUCUGAGAGGAUGAACGGCCACAUUGGGACUGAGACACGGCCCAAACUCCUACGGGAGGCAGCAGUGGGGAAUCUUCCGCAAUGGACGAAAGUCUGACGGAGCAACGCCGCGUGAGUGAAGAAGGUUUUCGGAUCGUAAAGCUCUGUUGUUUGAGACGAAUGUGCCUGUUUCGAAUAGGGAUAGGUAAUGACGGUAUUAAACGAGAAAGCCACGGCUAACUACGUGCCAGCAGCCGCGGUAAUACGUAGGUGGCAAGCGUUGUCCGGAAUUAUUGGGCGUAAAGGGAGCGCAGGUGGGAAUGUAAGUCGGUCUUAAAAGUGCGGGGCUCAACCCCGUGAUGGGAUCGAAACUAUCUUUCUUGAGUGCAGGAGAGGAAAGUGGAAUUCCUAGUGUAGCGGUGAAAUGCGUAGAUAUUAGGAGGAACACCAGUGGCGAAGGCGACUUUCUGGACUGUAACUGACGCUGAGGCUCGAAAGCCAGGGGAGCGAACGGGAUUAGAUACCCCGGUAGUCCUGGCCGUAAACGAUGAAUACUAGGUGUGGGAGGUAUCGACCCCUUCCGUGCCGGAGUUAACGCAAUAAGUAUCCCGCCUGGGGAGUACGGCCGCAAGGCUGAAACUCAAAGGAAUUGACGGGGGCCCGCACAAGCGGUGGAGUAUGUGGUUUAAUUCGACGCAACGCGAAGAACCUUACCAAGCCUUGACAUUGAGUGACCGGGGUAGAGAUACCUUUUUCCUCUUCGGAGGACACGAAAACAGGUGGUGCACGGCUGUCGUCAGCUCGUGUCGUGAGAUGUUGGGUUAAGUCCCGCAACGAGCGCAACCCCUAUCUUCUGUUACCAGCACGUAAUGGUGGGGACUCAGGAGAGACUGCCGCAGACAAUGCGGAGGAAGGCGGGGAUGACGUCAAGUCAUCAUGCCCCUUAUGGCUUGGGCUACACACGUACUACAAUGGCUCUUAAUAGAGGGAAGCGAAGGAGCGAUCCGGAGCAAACCCAAAAACAGAGUCCCAGUUCGGAUUGCAGGCUGCAACCCGCCUGCAUGAAGCAGGAAUCGCUAGUAAUCGCAGGUCAGCAUACUGCGGUGAAUACGUUCCCGGCGCCCUUGUAGAC